UAUGUUUAUUGUCCACUUAUCGUAAGUAAUUAAUACCUAUACAGCACAUGCGACCAGCCGCGAUAAUUUUACAAAUUCUUAAAGUACUGUUCUCACGAUCGAGAUAAUAUUAAAAAGAAACAAUAACCGUGCUACAGUUGAUAAAUAUUUUAUUAAUUUAAAAUGUGCAGGUACUUAAGUAUAUACACAAAACAUUAAACCUAAAAUUAAUACUUUUUACAAAUUGUUUAGGUGCCUAAUAUUUAAAUGUGAUAGACACAUUCACAAUACAGUUUGUCAUCUUUAUUACGAUAACGUACAAGAA